rnacentral:rRNA from 1 species
GACGAACGCUGGCGGCGUGCCUAAUACAUGCAAGUAGAACGCUGAAGCGAGGAGCUUACUCUUCUUGGAUGAGUUGCGAACGGGUGAGUAACGCGUAGGUAACCUGCCUUGUAGCGGGGGAUAACUAUUGGAAACGAUAGCUAAUACCGCAUAACAAUGGAUGACACAUGUCAUUUAUUUGAAAGGGGCAAUUGCUGCACUACAAGAUGGACCUGCGUUGUAUUAGCUAGUAGGUGAGGUAAUGGCUCACCUAGGCGACGUUACAUAGCCGACCUGAGAGGGUGAUCGGCCACCCUGGGAGUGUGACACGGCCCAGACUCCUACGGGAGGCAGCCGUAGGGAAUCUUCGGCCAUGGGGGCAACCCUGACCGAGCAACGCCGCGUGAGUGAAGAAGGUUUUCGGAUCGUAAAGCUCUGUUGUAAGUCAAGAACGGGUGUGAGAGUGGAAAGUUCACACUGUGACGGUAGCUUACCAGAAAGCGACGGCUAACUACGUG